rnacentral:tRNA from 1 species
GCCGAAGUGGCGGAACUGGCAUACGCGCCGGUCUCAAAAACCGGUGGUAGUAAUACCUUAAGGGUUCGACUCCCUUCUUCGGCACCA